ACGUGAGCACACAGAACCCUCUGAUUCAACAAACGGGAGGUUCUGGGUCACCAUUCUACUACCAAGAGACACACUACCUGACUCAGAAAACUCAUGCUUAUUUCAGGAAAAAGAAGGAAGUCGGCACCAAAUAAUCUUUUGUGGAGUGUGUAAAGAAGAUGGAGAUGAAGACAACACAAAGAACAAGAGGAAUUGAAAGAGGAAGGAGAAGGAGGAAGAAAAGAAUGUUUAUUGACAUUAACACAGAUUGUUAAUUACACAAAAUGUUGUUGACAGUAAUACCCACCAUGGGGGCCAACACCAGAAGAUACACAUGUGUUGAAAAAAGAUCAACAUCUAUUGCAAAACUUAAUAGUUUAAAAGAACUAUGCCCAAAGACAAUAGUUUUACAUGUAGCUACAGAAAGUACAUGUACAUAUCAUUGUAUGCGGCAUAACUUUUAAUUUAGAUCAAAUAACUCUUCUUGUAAAUUUAUUCUCCCCAUUUUUAUUCUAAGCUUUCUUCUACAUGUGCGAAAAGUGAAGUGAUGGCCAUCAGUGUGUUGAUUUCUCUAGCAGAACUUUCCAAAUAUUAAAAUGAUGUCUAUUUUAUGUCAGUAAUAUUAGAUGCUUUAAAUAAAAAAUCAAUUAGGUUCAUUCCAA